rnacentral:rRNA from 1 species
GACGAACGCUGGCGGCGUGCUUAACACAUGCAAGUCGAGCGGUAAGGCCCUUUCGGGGGUACGACGAGCGGCGAACGGGUGAGUAACACGUGGGUGACCUGCCCUUAGCUCUGGGAUAAGCCUGGGAAACUGGGUCUAAUACCGGAUAUGACUCCAUGACGCAUGUUGUGGGGUGGAAAGCCUUGUGCGGCUAGGGAUGGGCCCGCGGCCUAUCAGGCUUGGUUGGUGGGGUGAUGGCCACCAAGGCGACGACGGUAGCCGGCCUGAGAGGCGACCGGCCACACUGGGACUGAGACACGGCCCAGACUCCUAC